CCGAGUUUCUACUCGAAAACCCAUUGUGAACUUUACCAUUGUUGCUUCGGCGAGAGGCCUAAACCGCCCCUCGCCGAAGGUAUAAACUCUUUACGUAUGUGUUGUGGCAUAUCUGAGUACAAGAAUUUAAAUAUUCA
rnacentral:misc_RNA from 1 species